rnacentral:tRNA from 1 species
GGUCGGGUGGUCUGUUGGCAGGCCGGUCGGAUUUUCACUCCGGACAUUCGCGGGUUCAAUUCCCGUCCCGAUCGC